UCUAACUGAAACAAAAAGCACCUGCCUGGGCUGGUACCCGACUGAAAGAUAAAUACUGAAGUUCGUUGCUACUUCUCCUCAACUAGGAUGACUUUCUUAUCCUAUGCUUCUCUCAACAUGCCUGCAAUGAGGAACAAUUCUUACAGAUGAGGCUCGUAAAUCAAAUAUGACCCUUUAAUAUACAUAGCUCGUCAACCUAAACCAUUAUGCUUGCACCACUGGGAACAAUUUACAAGUUUGUAAGCUGCACAAUUAUGAACUCUCAUGGAAAUUGAGUGACCUAGACAAUGCUGCAGGAUUGGCUUGUAAUACUGAAGAGGUUUCAGUUGUGUGAUUCUUUUCUUCACCUUUUGAUUCAAAGGCCUUAAAUAGUCCUCGUCCACUGAUUGGAUCGGCCUUAUCAUUCUUAAUCCCAAGUGUCGUCCAUAUGGAGCUCUUUGCAGCUUCUCCAGGGUCAUCAAUCCUCAAUGUUUUUGGAAUCCAAAUGCCUCUUUCACCAUUACAUUCUUUCACUGGUUUUUUUGUUUUCUGCACGUUCUCAUCUCUUGAAUGUUUUCCCAAGGUUGGAGAGUUAGGACCAGAGUUGAGUGCAGCUUGGUUUGGCGAAGAUGGCUGAGGAAUCCAAGGCAUGUUCCAAGUUCCUGGUACAGUACAACCCCAAUAAGCUGCUGUAGGAUAGAA
rnacentral:misc_RNA from 1 species